rnacentral:lncRNA from 1 species
ACCCUGUUAUGGACGUGGCCUAUCACUGUUACCCCAAUGGGUGCAGCUUCGAUGCCCUGGCCUCUAAGGGAGCUCUGUUUCUCAAGGUAGGCGUCCUCGGCUCUGCCUGAGGGCUACACAUUAGCUGUCCCCAAGCCACACAACGAAGUAGGCCACAGACCCUGCCAACCCUUACUCCCUGGGAAUGCUCACUCCCCUGAUGGAUGAAUUAGGACAAAGCUUUUCAUGCAGCUGAACUCAGGCCCCCAGCCCUACUACAUGGGCUCAGGCUGAGGGCUCAGGCUGAGGGCUCAGGGCCAGUUUCUCACAUCGGAGUCACUUUUGCUUAUCUGUAAAGUGUAGUGGGACUGACCUGUGUGUUGAGGCCCAGACAGGAUUGGUGGAAGAGGAAACAAGCCCCAUCUCCAUUUACACAGGGCAGAGACCAGAGUAGGCCAGAGUGCAGGCCAGCGUAGGCACUGUCAGGUCUGCAGGCUAAGACCACACUUGGCCACUGAGGCCUCAAGCUUCUUUGGCCAGGACAGCCCCCACUUCUUUGACCGGGACAGCCCCCACUUCUUUGACUGGGACAGCCCCCACUUCUUUGGCCGGGACAGCUCCCACUUUGGGUUGUCAGCAGCUGCCUUGUCAGGCUGUCUGCCCACCAGCCCCUGGCUUCACUUCAUAGUCACUAAUUAAAGUGAACCAUAAUUAUUUCUGCUCAUUUGGAUGCAGUUGGAGGAGGUUUUAGACCAUGAUAAUUUGGUCAUUACACAUUAUCUUCCACAG